rnacentral:rRNA from 1 species
GAUGAACGCUAGCGGCAGGCCUAAUACAUGCAAGUCGAACGGUGUCUUCGGACAUAGUGGCGCACGGGUGCGUAACACGUAUGCAACCUACCUUACAUUGGGGGAUAGCCUUUCGAAAGGGAGAUUAAUACCGCAUAAGACAGUAGCUGGGCAUCCAGCAGCUGUUAAAGAUUUAUCGAUGUAAGCUGGGCAUGCGUCCAAUUAGCUAGUUGGUGAGGUAACGGCUCACCAAGGCAAUGAUUGGUAGGGGAACUGAGAGGUCAAUCCCCCACACUGGCACGGGGAUACGGGCCAGACGCCUACGGGAGGCAGCAGUAGGGAAUAUUGGGCAAUGGACGCAAGUCUGACCCAGCCAUGCCGCGUGCAGGAUGAAGGCGUUAUGCGUUGUAAACUGCUUUUAUACAGGAAGAAACGACUCUUGCGAGAGGCAUUGACGGUACUGUAUGAAUAAGCACCGGCUAACUCCGUGCCAGCAGCCGCCGCGGUAA